GGCCGACGCGUGCGCCCGGACCAGCGUUCGCUGCUGUUGUCGGCGGCACGCUCGGCCCUGUUCAACCAGGUGUUGGCCG
rnacentral:tRNA from 1 species